AACCAUAGAAACCUGCGGAGUACCUGCGGAGGGAUCACUGAAGAGAGGGGGGAUGGUGAGUGGGGGAGAUGUGGGUUGUGGGGAAGGAAGUGGAGAUGUUUGAGAAAUCGAACAAUCCAUACUUUACUCCACUCCCCACACUCCCCACACCACACCAUAUUCACACGCUUGCUGGUUUGACUGUAUCUUUCCAAUACAUACACAACUUUCAACAACGGAUCUCAGAUCGGAAGAGCACAC
rnacentral:misc_RNA from 1 species